rnacentral:rRNA from 1 species
GUAGGAGGCGAGCGUUAUCCGGAUUCACUGGGCGUAAAGCGCGUGCAGGCGGUUUGGUAAGUUGAUCGUGAAAGCUCCCGGCUCAACUGGGAGAGGUCGUUCAAUACUACCGAACUAGAGAGUAGAAGAGGAAGAUGGAAUUCCCGGUGUAGUGGUGAAAUGCGUAGAUAUCGGGAGGAACACCAGUGGCGAAGGCGAUCUUCUGGUCUAUUUCUGACGCUCAGACGCGACAGCUAGGGUAGUAAACGGGAUUAGAGACCCCGGUAAUCCUAGCCGUAAACGAUGUGAACUUGGCGUCGGUGGCUUAAACACCAUCGGUGCCGAAGCAAACGCGAUAAGUUCACCGCCUGGGGACUACGGCCGCAAGGUUAAA